CGGGAGGCAGCAGUGGGGAAUAUUGCACAAUGGGCGAAAGCCUGAUGCAGCCAUGCCGCGUGUGUGAAGAAGGCCUUCGGGUUGUAAAGCACUUUCAGCGAGGAGGAAAGGGUGUUGUUUAAUACGCAACAUCUGUGACGUUACUCGCAGAAGAAGCACCGGCUAACUUCGUGCCAGCAGCCGCGGUAAUACGAGGGGUGCAAGCGUUAAUCGGAAUUACUGGGCGUAAAGCGUGCGUAGGUGGUUUGUUAAGCAAGAUGUGAAAGCCCCGGGCUCAACCUGGGAACUGCAUUUUGAACUGGCAAACUAGAGUAUUGUAGAGGGUAGUGGAAUUUCCAGUGUAGCGGUGAAAUGCGUAGAGAUUGGAAGGAACAUCAGUGGCGAAGGCGGCUACCUGGACAAAUACUGACACUGAGGCACGAAAGCGUGGGGAGCAAACAGGAUUAGAUACCCUGGUAGUCCACGCCGUAAACGAUGUCAACUAGCCGUCUGUGACCUUGAGUCGUGGGUGGCGCAGCUAACGCACUAAGUUGACCGCCUGGGGAGUACGGCCGCAAGGUUAAAACUCAAAUGAAUUGACGGGGGCCCGCACAAGCGGUGGAGCAUGUGGUUUAAUUCGAUGCAACGCGAAGAACCUUACCAUCCCUUGACAUCCAGAGAAGAGACUAGAGAUAGACUUGUGCCUUCGGGAACUCUGUGACAGGUGCUGCAUGGCUGUCGUCAGCUCGUGUUGUGAAAUGUUGGGUUAAGUCCCGCAACGAGCGCAACCCCUGUCCUUAUUUGCCAGCGCGUAAUGGCGGGAACUCUAAGGAGACUGCCGGUGAUAAACCGGAGGAAGGUGGGGACGACGUC
rnacentral:rRNA from 1 species